AUUAAUUCAUUAUACGUGUUAGUUACCAAUCAUCGUAAUACGUGUAUAAAGACGAUUGAUGAAUGGAUCAUUUUAAAGAGAAGAAGAAGACCAAGCUUCUGUUUGUUGGAACGUAAAUUUGCCGGGAUUGUAUUAAGGCAAACAAACUCGCUCUCAUUGUGAAACGAUUUUUGGAACGUCUGCCCGUUUUCUGUCGUGCUUUCCCGUAAUCCGUACAACUGAACUGGCUUUUAUCAUGAUAAUUGGGCAACGAAUCAGAUAACACAAUAAUACAAACGUUGAUUAAAAUCGACUCUCGAUUAUUAAAGUGGCUGAAAUGAAAAUCAAUAAUCGUCCAAACCAACAAUCCAAACAAAACGCAUCCAAUUAAAUCGUAAUACCGUCCUACCUUUUUAAGUAGAGAGUAGACGACUUUGAUCAGACGUCCAGUAAACAAGAUCAAUACCAAUCCGACCCGAUCAACCGAGUCAAAUCGAGAGAGGGGGAGAAAGAAGAAAGAAAAAAAAAAAGAAGAAAAAGCCGCAAAUCCACGUC